rnacentral:rRNA from 1 species
UACGGGGGGGGCAAGCGUUGUUCGGAAUUACUGGGCGUAAAGGGUUCGUAGGUGGCCAACUAAGUCAGACGUGAAAUCCCUCAGCUUAACUGGGGAACUGCGUCUGAGACUGGAUGGCUUGAGUGCAGGAGAGGAACGCGGAAUUCCAGGUGUGGCGGUGAAAUGCGUAGAUAUCUGGAGGAACACCGGUGGCGAAGGCGGCGUUCUGGACUGCUACUGACACUGAGGAACGAAAGCCAGGGGAGCAAACGGG